UUCAGUUCCAUUAUCUAGAGCGGCUUCAGAACGAACAAUAGAUGACAUUUGGGAUGGUGUUACAGAAAAUAUGGAACGUCAAAUUGGCGAAGGACUUUUCGAUAUAUUAUUGUAUGGAAUUACCGGAGGUAAGGGAUUGGGUCGUGAUGGUAGCACUCGACUUCAUUUGGCCGCUCGCAGAGGUAA